rnacentral:rRNA from 1 species
UACGAGGGGGGCGAGCGUUGUUCGGAAUUAUUGGGCGUAAAGGGUGCGUAGGCGGUUCCGCAAGUCCUGUGUGAAAGCCCCGGGCUCAACCCGGGAAGUGCACUUGAUACUGCGUGGCUUGAGUAUCGGAGAGGUUGGUGGAAUUCUCGGUGUAGAGGUGAAAUUCGUAGAUAUCAGGAGGAACACCGAUGGCGAAGGCAGUGGGCUGGGCCGGCACUGACGCUGAGGAGCGAAAGCGUGGGGAGCGAACAGG